rnacentral:siRNA from 1 species
ACUUCUAAAGUUUGGCGCUUGC